GAAAUGCGAUAAGCAAUGCGAAUUGCAGAAUUCCGCGAGUCAUCAGAUCUUUGAACGCAGCCCGCGCUGGAGAGCUAUCUCUUCAGCAUGUUUGUUUCAGUGUGUUUGGUUGACAUCAAACAACUCAAUGCGAUUGAAGACCUGACUUUAAAGUCUUGGUUUUCUCUCGUGAAAGAGGAAAGCGUGGGACUCGCCCGCCAACGAUGUGGUCACUGUCUAACAGUGAAAUUCGUUGGGUUCAUCGAGCGUUUCCAAUUUCAAAUACGAUUAUUUAACAUUAAAAAACUCUUCAAUCUGCACCUGAAAUCAAGCAAGGUCACCCGCUGAACUUAA
rnacentral:misc_RNA from 1 species